GGCGAUGGAGAAAUAUUAACAAUUGAGAUUAUUAACGAACGAACAAAAAACAUUUUAAUACACAUCUUCACAGUUCCAAUAAUUACAUGCGCGCGCAUAUUUAAUAUUACGUCAUGGUACUUUAUGCGCAGAAUCGCAUGAAAGAAAGUAAAUACACGAAAGCAUUCUUGAAAGAAACAGUUGUCUACAUGAGAUUUCUUUACUUUUAUUCAUAAUAAAAAUUUAUUGCUGACUCGAAAUGGAAAAGAAAUACAAGAAAGCAUUUUGGUGUGGUUGGGUUGACUUAUUUCUUUUUUGCGAAACUAACGGGAUCAUCACGGCUGCCGGAAAUUUUCCGUAAAAAACGCAAUAUUUUUUAAAAGUGUAGCUACUAAAAUUUUUUAUCCUUUUGUUACAUGAAUAAUUUUUUGAGUGUGCAUUUGAGUUUUGGCGUUCAUGCGCAAAAAAUAAACUGGGGCAACCAGACAGAUAAUGCUUUGUACAGUCAAUACAAAUUUUGGCUCGGAUGAUCACUUGAGUCUUCACAUCAUCUAAAUAAAAACUUUAAAUUUUGAGCAGCCAUAGCGAGCACUGACCGAUAUUUCCUUUUUCGAUAUGAAGCCAGACUUUUUUUUAUAAAAAUAUUUUUAUGUCAUGUAACUUUAAUUUAGCAAUUUUCAAGGCAGAACUUUUAAUCAUAAAAUUUUUUUUGAAAUUAUCGAAUUUUUUUUAAAAAUACAUAAUUAACUUUAAUAGUUUAUA